rnacentral:misc_RNA from 1 species
GUAGAUGAAAAUUUAUAAAAUAGCAUAUGAAAAGUAUCAUAACUGUCAUUUUCGUGCUCCGCCACCCAUCCAAGCAAAACAAAAUAAACAAGGAUGGAACAAAAUGCUUGCCAUUUUAACUAUAAAUCAACAGAAAUUAUAUUCAAAUCAAUGCAAUAACACUAUGCACACAAGAGAGGAUAAUCAAAACUAUCACUUUGAUUUAGUAGCUAUUCAAUAGAGGACACUAAACCAUGUGUGUUGAAAAUACCAAUAACCAAACCUCAUGAUCACAAGAUAAAAAGGCAAUGCAAGAAUAAUCAGACUAGGAUGUUGGACCUGCUAUCACAAAAACAAGUCUUUGACCAACAUAUUUACAACUAUUGACAGCCUAUAUGGUAUUCCAUACCUUUAGAGAGCAAAAUG